UUAAAUUUUGCCCUAAAAGGCUCUAUGAAAGAAAUAUGGUACCAAAGAACAUUUUUCGCAUACAAGAUAAAAGUGGAAGAUCUUAUGUGGGAGACUUUAUCUAGAAAAACAUUAGUUUUGAUCAAAAGGGAUAAUAAUGACUUGUCUAAUCCUAUGAGUUCAAGAUCCAAUUCAAAAAAAAACCCAAAAAAAAAACAAAAACACAAAAAAAAACCAAAAAAGAAAAAAAUCAAAAUCAAAAUUAAAAAAUGAAAAUGACAAAAAGAAAAGGAAAAAUG
rnacentral:lncRNA from 1 species